GAAUGACAGGUCUCAGAAAACAACAGCACCAACAACAGUCACUGGGCUCUUUAUCUGCAGAGCCAGAGCAGUAAGCUGCACUGAGCUCUAUCAGGUAACUCUGCCAACGUGCCUCACCUUUGGGAGAAAGCGAGAGAUUGUGGUAUGGAAGUAGGAUAAACCUGCUGACUGAAUGGAAGAUGCAGAGAGCUACCAGCAUGGGUGAAAAUGCAGCGAGUCUUCGAGAGCUCCAGAUCCUCCUCUACCCCCAACUGCUGAAUAUGGGAUUUGAUUUUCUGUCCUGAUGUCUUUAAUAUAAUAUUCUCCAAGAGGUGGAAGUCAUCUUGAUUGAACAUCUCACCAUCUUCCAAGGGACCAAUAAUCUAUGAAAAAUACAGAUACAGGGUUACUAGACCAACAUGGCUACUAAAUACAUCCCUGAAACAUGGAAGAUGCUG